CCGAGUUUACAACUCCCAAACCCCUGUGAACAUACCUAUACGUUGCCUCGGCGGAUCAGCCCGCGCCCCCGUAAAACGGGACGGCCCGCCGCAGGACCCACAAACCCUGAAUUUUAUUGUAACUUCUGAGUUUAAAAAACAAAUAAAUCA
rnacentral:misc_RNA from 1 species